rnacentral:rRNA from 1 species
CAGCCGCCGCGGUAAUACGUAGGUGGCAAGCGUUGUCCGGAAUUAUUGGGCGUAAAGGGCUCGCAGGCGGUUUCUUAAGUCUGAUAUGAAAGCCCCCGGCUCAACCGGGGAGGGUCAUUGGAAACUGGGAAACUUGAGUGCAGAAGAGGAGAGUGGAAUUCCACGUGUAGCGGUGAAAUGCGUAGAGAUGUGGAGGAACACCAGUGGCGAAGGCGACUCUCUGGUCUGUAACUGACGCUGAGGAGCGAAAGCGUGGGGAGCGAACAGGAUUAGAUACCCCCGUAGUCCCUGUCUCUUAUAA